rnacentral:rRNA from 1 species
AAGGAAGCUUCUAAUCAGAAUGUCUACAUUUUAAGAUUAGAUCUCAAAUCAGGUAGGACUACCCGCUGAACUUAAGCAUAUCAAUAAGCGGAGGAAAAGAAACUAACAAGGAUUCCCCUAGUAGCGGCGAGCGAAGCGGGAAGAGCUCAAAUUUAUAAUCUGGCACCUUCGGUGUCCGAGUUGUAAUCUCUAGAAAUGUUUUCCGCGUUGGACCGCACACAAGUCUGUUGGAAUACAGCGGCAUAGUGGUGAGACCCCCGUAUAUGGUGCGGACGCCCAGCGCUUUGUGAUACAUUUUCGAAGAGUCGAGUUGUUUGGGAAUGCAGCUCAAAUUGGGUGGUAAAUUCCAUCUAAAGCUAAAUAUUGGCGAGAGACCGAUAGCGAACAAGUACCGUGAGGGAAAGAUGAAAAGCACUUUGGAAAGAGAGUUAACAGUACGUGAAAUUGUUGGAAGGGAAACGCUUGAAGUCAGACUUGCUUGCCGAGCAAUCGGUUUGCAGGCCAGCAUCAGUUUUCCGGGAUGGAUAAUGGUAGAGAGAAGGUAGCAGUUUCGGCUGUGUUAUAGCUCUCUGCUGGAUACAUCUUGGGGGACUGAGGAACGCAGUGUGCCUUUGGCGGGGGUUCG